rnacentral:lncRNA from 1 species
AUGCGCGCCGCAACCAGCCUCUGGUCCCGGAUAUUAAGACUUCUGGAGGGUUCCCGCGUGAGGGCGGGGCCAGAACCGGAACCGAACAGCUACCGACGGGCCUCGGAGCGGAAGCCCGGGGCGACGCCAGCGGGCCCUAGUUGCUGGUGCGCGCGCCUCGUCUUGGCGGGAGCGCGAGGGGCGGGGUCUUGCCAUGCGCUUGCGCACUUUGGGGACGUAGGUGCCGCCGGCGUGUACGUCUUUUUCUAUCUUUGCACGUUUGCUAGGCGGGAUUCUAUAAACCUGGAGAGUAAUCCUAAGAAAAAUCAUCAGAAGAAAGGAAUUUGUAGAACUAAAACUGCAAACAUCCAGAAUCUUGAUGGUGUGCCAAGCCAAAUGUCAACUGGAACUCAACCAAAAACUAAAGUGCUCUCUGAUAAGAGACCCAAAGAAAGAGCGGGUAAGUCUCCCUGAGAAAAUGUUUUCCUGUUUAUGUAUAAAAGUUGUUUGGAGAGCUUUGCCUCAUCCCUAUAUAUUUAAACAUGCCAUAAGUGUCAUUGAAUCAUGGAUGCAAAGCUGAUGGAUACAGUAUGAUGUUAAAUGAGAAUAUGACCUGCAUUUUGAAAAUUGGAAAAGUUCGUUGGGUUUUCUCUAGUCCUCAUGCAGCCAUGCUGCCGAGUUUAUCUCCAUUUUGUAAGGUUGGUUUUACACAGAAAGAAAUUGCUUUGCAUAACCAGUCUU